rnacentral:rRNA from 1 species
UACAGAGGUCUCAAGCGUUGUUCGGAUUCAUUGGGCGUAAAGGGUGCGUAGGCGGCGCGGUAAGUCGGGUGUGAAACCCUCAGGCUCAACCUGGGGACGCCACCCGAUACUGCUGUGGCUAGAGUCCAGUAGGGGAGUGUGGAAUUCCCGGUGUAGCGGUGAAAUGCGCAGAUAUCGGGAGGAACACCAGCGGCGAAGGCGGCACUCUGGGCUGGUACUGACGCUGAGGAGCGAAAGCGUGGGUAGCAAACAGG